UCUGAACUUGAACUAGGUUCACUAGGUUCGAGAUGCCUCCUCUUUCUUCUCAAAUCACGUUCAAAAUCGUCGUUGAAAUCCAAGAUGUGUGCAAGCACAGUUCGAGAACUCCGCGUCAUGCACUAGUACCUAAACCAAGAAAACAAAACAAAAUCAGAAAACUAAGUAAAUUAUACUAAAACACACGGCAAAAACACAAGGGAUUAGCAAUUUU
rnacentral:lncRNA from 1 species